CAGCCGUAAACUAUGCGCGUUAGGUGUAUCGGUGACCACGAGUUACCGAGGUGCCGAAGGGAAACCGUGAAACGUGCCGCCUGGGAAGUACGGUCGCAAGGCUGAAACUUAAAGGAAUUGGCGGGGGAGCACCACAACGAGUGGAGCCUGCGGUUUAAUUGGACUCAACGCCGGAAAGCUCACCGGAUAAGACAGCGGAAUGAUUGCCGGGCUGAAGACUCUGCAUGACUAGCUGAGAGGAGGUGCAUGGCGUCAGUGACU
rnacentral:rRNA from 1 species